rnacentral:rRNA from 1 species
AGGUGAUCGAGAGAACUCUCGUUAAGGAACUCGGCAAAAUGACCCCGUAACUUCGGGAGAAGGGGUGCUCUGUUAGGGUGCAAGCCCGAGAGAGCCGCAGUGAAUAGGCCCAGGCGACUGUUUAGCAAAAACACAGGUCUCUGCGAAGCCGUAAGGCGAAGUAUAGGGGCUGACGCCUGCCCGGUGCUGGAAGGUUAAGAGGAGCGCUUAGCGUAAGCGAAGGUGCGAAUUGAAGCCCCAGUAAACGGCGGCCGUAACAAUAACGGUCCUAAGGUAGCGAAAUUCCUUGUCGGGUAAGUUCCGACCCGCACGAAAGGCGCAACGAUCUGGGCACUGUC